GAGAGAAAGGCUAUACUACCAUCACUGGUGUUUUAGAAGGCAUGAAGGAAGCACACACUGACGAGAUAUAGUGUUUAUGGCAGGCCAAAGUCAGAUGUGUGCAAUUAGCUUCGUUUCGUUAUUUUUCUUUUUUCCAAGGGGUAAACAGGAGUCGGUCCCUUGGCGGAAAACCCCGCCAGGGGACCGACGCACGUUGGAGUCGGUGGGCGGCAAGCCAAGCCAAGUCAAGGCCGUCGGCGCGGCGUUCGUUUGUUUUCCGUUUUGGUUCGUUUGGUAUGGUGAGGCCGCGUCCGUUACAGUGAGAUAGAGCUUGUUUUUCAGCAAAGAUGACAGACGCUACGUGCCUAGUUGUGGUGCUUCAUGCGGACAUUAGACAAAAGUGCCUGCUUGAAGAGGACACUCCAACUGCUUUGAGGAGUGCUAUCUCGGCUUCGAGAAUGUUGGCGUCAUACGUGAACGCCACUGACAGGAAACAGGUAUGUUGCUUCUUGUGCCAUACGCUUGAAGUAGAACACAGAACUACACAUGCAGAGCGUUGUGAUGACUUAGUAACAACAUUGCUGUCACCUCUAGGUUCGGGAUAGCGACUUCAGUGAGUGUUGAAUUCGCGGAGGGCGAUGAGAUAAUGCAUACGGCGACAGUACCCGUCUUGCAACCUCACCGCCAGGAACGCUCGAAGGGUUCAGUACGUAUGAGUCGACUGUUAUCCUAUCUCUGCAAUUUAAGCUAUAUUGUGAUCAUAUAAUAGUAGUGUUGCUCAGACUCUCAUGCGUCCCUCGGAGCCCGCUACCAUGUGUGUAAAUAGCUUGUUUGGAAACUUAAAAUUGCGCGUCGUUGUCGUCGCCAAUGUCAUAUUCCUUUUCUCUCGCCCCGGCAUUGUUCGACAUUGUGCAGAAAAGGAAUGUCAGGCUCCCUUCUGGUAAUUCAUGCUAGUAGUUCAUGGUGAACAGUAGGAUUCAAGGGGAAGAUGUCGAGCACUGAAGUGUUGCCUAUCAAGCAAAAGCUAUUGUUUUCUGUUGGAAAAUAAGUGUGUAUUGGGUACAUAUCUGCUGUGCUGUGUGCACUUGGUGUUUUCUCACUGAAAACCGUAAAAAAUCAAAUUGGGAGUAUAUUUACAUGUAAAGUUACUGAAAAUAGUAAGUUGUGUUCCCUGUUGGGGCUUUUACAGACCUCCUUGCUGUCCACGCCCUGCGAAUACUGGGUUCGUGUGUGAAGGGUUCCGAAGCAAUAAAGAACAUGUUUGUGCAUUAUGAUACACCUGUGCCGGUGACACUGUGCAUCAUGUUCACUGGGAGCAGCAUUCAAGAAGCGGAGCAUAUGGACCUCUAUGUCGGCGAGUAGCGCCUUCUCAGAACCAUCGACCUUGACGAGGGCUUGGCUGCUAUUCUUGCAGCUAUUGGUUAUUUCAUAUUGUCUACAGUUCAAAGCCGCACCGUACAUCUUGAAGCCUGGAAGAGCGGUGCCUGAAAGUGAGUGACUCUCGUGCAAGAAGCCCCGUGGAUCAAUUUUUUCAACAGUUAUGGACAAGAGCUUGUGAAUGCUUUGAACAUCUAAAACAUUUGCUACUUUAACUGACUUGUAGUGAGCCCUCCAUUCCCCCCCCCCCUGCCCACCUCACAAACAGGCAGCCAUUUCGUCAAGGAAUUGGAAAUUCUUCGGAAGCACGGGUGUGUUCUUUCUUGUUCUUUGGCACUGAACUCUCAUAAGCAUGGGGGAUUACCUUUCUUCUGGCAAUGUAGCCGUCCAUUUGUCAACAUACCUGGCACAGCGCAUUACAUUUAGGGAAAUUGUUUUGGGUAUUCUGUGCUUCCAUUUCUAGUCUUUAGUAUGUGCUCUUGUUAAGAGAUAGUCUUCUAUCCGUUUUCCUUUUUCUUUUUUUGCUUGCCAGAAAAGCUGUUUGCUGGCUGUUUUCAUUACCCUUUCGCAUCAACGUGCUAUAUUUGCACUAGCUUCUUAUUUGGUGUACUGGAUCUGUAGUGGUGCCUUAUGUGGAUUUAAACAUUUAAUAUGCCUUUUCAUCUUAUUUUGUGUCUCAUUGCUGCUGUUUCAAUUAGUUAUGUCAUCAUGGACUCAGUUCUGCUUUGCCUUCCUUCCACAUACUGUGCAUAUUGUUCCACUCUGGGCAACGUUAUAAGGAAUUUAGUUUCACAUGUGUACAUGCACUUGUACUUCGCCAAUAAACAUAACUUUGUCGUCA